AAGUUCAUUAGAGUUAACUGCACAUAAGAUUGCAGCCCAAAUAAAUGCUUCACAGAGUUCAAGUAACAGACACAUCUCAAAAUGAACUGUUUAGAGGAGACUGCGUGAAUCAGGCUUUCAUGAUUGAAUUGCUAAAAAGAAACUACUACUAAAGGACACCAAUAAUAAGAAGAGACUUUAUUGGGCCACGAAACACAAGCAAUGGACAUUAAACCAGUGGAAAUAUCUCCUUUGGUCUGAUGAGUACACAUUUGAGAUUUUUGGUUCCAACCACCGUGUCUUUGUGAGACGCAGAGAAGGGCAACGACCCACACCUUCAGGCUGUGUAAGUGCUGUUUGACCAAGAAGGAGAGUGACGUCGUGCUGCAUCAGAUGACCUGGUCUCCACAAUCACCUGACCUCAACUCUAUUGAGAUGGUUUGGGAUGAGUUGGACAACAGAAUGAAGGAAAAGCAGCCAAAAAAGACCUAGCAUAUGUGGGAAUUCCUUUGAGAGUUGAGAGAAAGCCAAGAGUGUGCAAAGCUGUCAUCAAGGCAAAGGAAAAUAACAUCAGAACAGCGAUUACCCUACAUGAACUGGCAGAAGCUUUUUUUCCCCCAAUUGUUUUGUUUGUUUUUGCCAUGAUGUCAAGUAGAGGCACUGAGUUUGAAGGUAGGCCUUGAAAUACAUCCACAGAUACACCUCCAAUUGACUCAUAUUGUGCCAAUUAGCCUAUCAGAAGCUUCUAAGGCCAUGACAUAAUUUCCUGGAAUUUUCCAAGCUGUUUAAAGGCACAGUCAACUUAGUGUAUGUAAACUUCUGACCCCCUGGAAUUGUGAUACAGCGAAUUAUAAGUGAAAUAAGCUGUCUGUAAACAAUUGUUGGAAAAAUGACUUGUGUCAUGUACAAAGUAGAUGUCCUAACCUACUUUCCAAAAAUAUAAUAUGUUCAGAAGAAAUUUGUGGAGUAGUUGAAAAUUUGUUUUAAUGACUCCAAGUGUAUGUAAAUGUACGACUUCAACUGUAGUCUCGCUAUUGUUAUAUUACUGCUGCUCUUUAAUUACUUGUUCCUUUUAUUUCUUAUUCUUAUUCAUAUUUUUAACUGCUUUGGUAGUUAGUGGCUUGUAAGUAAUCAUUUCACUCUUAGGUCUACACCUGUUGUAUUUGGCGCAAGUUAAUUUUUUUAUUUCACCUUUAUUUAACCAGGUAGGCCAGUUGAGAACAAGUUCUCAUUUACAACUGCGACCUGGCCAAGAUGAAGAAAAGCAGUGCGACACCAACAGCACAGAGUUACACAUGGAAUAAACAAACAGAACUACAGAUUUUUUACCUUGUCGCUUGGGGAUUCAAUCUUGCAACCUUUCGGUUAUUAGUCCAACGCUCUAAACACUAGGCUACCUGCCAUCCCCAAAGUGUUGUAUGUCGUUGAAUGUGACUACUAACAUUUGAUCUGAUAACAUUUUUGACAGCAUCACUGACCGCCCCAGGUGCCUUUUGUUAUUGUUUUUGUUUUGAGGAAAUGAGCAUCCAGCAUUGUUGUAAAAAAAAUACAGAGCGUACUCUGCUGUUCUAUCCAGCUUGCAAUGAUGUCAGAGAGAAAAUACAGUGGUCGUUGUUUGAAGUAAUGUCUUUGUUGUUCUAAUUUCCCAAACGGAUUCCAGCUUUAAGGCUGCUCAUCCCCGGAACUGAUAGAGUUUCAUAUCCCUGUGUGUGUCAUCUAACCCCUCACUUUCCUAACAGCACCCUCACCAACCACAGGAGUGGGCUGCAGAUUUAUAUAAACACUGUUAAUGAUGAGAGUGUGCGAGAGGAGGGAGGGACGCGCAUUAUACUUGAAACAGAUGCUCUUCCCAGGCCUCACCAGCUAUGCCUACAGUAGUGCCACACACAACAUGCACUCACUAGUACUGUACCCCUAGGACAAAAUACAACUGACUCUCACAGGUACUGUACCCCUAGGACAAAACACAACUGACUCUCACUAGUACUGUACCCCUAGUACAAAACAGAUCAUGCACUCACUAGUAUUGUACCCCAGGACAAAACACAACUGACUCUCACUAGUACUGUACCCCAGGACAAAACACAUCUGGCUCUCACUAGUACUGUACCCCUAGUACAAAAUAGAACAUACACUUACUCAAAAACACUCUCUCUCUAACAUACGCACACACACACUGAUAAUACACUCAGCUACAGUAGCUCUGGUGCCAACGCAAAUCAUACACACUCUCACAUAUUCUGAGAACACCGUCAGCUUCCCUGGUAUCAUACAAUACU